rnacentral:rRNA from 1 species
UACGAAGGGGGCUAGCGUUGUUCGGAAUCACUGGGCGUAAAGCGCACGUAGGCGGAUCUUUAAGUCAGGGGUGAAAUCCCGAGGCUCAACCUCGGAACUGCCUUUGAUACUGGGGAUCUCGAGUCCGGGAGAGGUGAGUGGAACUGCGAGUGUAGAGGUGAAAUUCGUAGAUAUUCGCAAGAACACCAGUGGCGAAGGCGGCUCACUGGCCCGGUACUGACGCUGAGGUGCGAAAGCGUGGGGAGUAAACAGG